rnacentral:rRNA from 1 species
UACGAGUGCCUCAAGCGUUAUCCGGAAUCAUUGGGCGUAAAGGAUGUGUAGGUGGCCGCAUUAGUCUUUUGUUAAAUUUCCUGGCUUAACUGGGAACCUGCAGAAGAAACGGUGCGGCUAGAGGAUGCAAGGGGUCUGCGGAACUCAUAGUGUAGCGGCGAAAUGCGUUGAUAUUAUGGGGAACACCAAAAGCGAAGGCAGCAGACUGGGGCACUCCUGACACUGAAACAUGAAAGCGUGGGUAGCGAAUGGG